UACGUAGGUUGCAAGCGUUGUCCGGAAUUAUUGGGCGUAAAGAGCUCGUAGGCGGCUUGUCGCGUCGACUGUGAAAACCCGCGGCUUAACUGUGGGACUGCAGUCGAUACGGGCUAGCUAGAGUUCGGUAGGGGAGACUGGAAUUCCUGGUGUAGCGGUGAAAUGCGCAGAUAUCAGGAGGAACACCGGUGGCGAAGGCGGGUCUCUGGGCCGAGACUGACGCUGAGGAGCGAAAGCGUGGGGAGCGAACAGG
rnacentral:rRNA from 1 species